rnacentral:rRNA from 1 species
AACGGCCGUACCAUGCUGAAUAUACCGGUUCUCGUUAGGUCACCGAAGUCAAGCAUCAUUGGGCGCGGUCAGUACUUGGGUGGGUGACCACCUGGGAACACCGCGUGCCGUU